UACGAAGGGGGCUAGCGUUGCUCGGAAUGACUGGGCGUAAAGGGCGCGUAGGCGGACUAACGGGUCAGAUGUGAAAUUCCUGGGCUUAACCUGGGGGCUGCAUUUGAAACUGUUGGACUAGAGUUCGGAAGAGGGUCGUGGAAUUCCCAGUGUAGAGGUGAAAUGCGUAGAUAUUGGGAAGAACACCGGUGGCGAAGGCGGCGACCUGGUCCGACACUGACGCUGAGGCGCGAAAGCGUGGGGAGCAAACAGG
rnacentral:rRNA from 1 species